rnacentral:rRNA from 1 species
UGCUCUGUGGGAUCAGUGGCGAACGGGUGAGUAACACGUGAGCAACCUGCCCCUGACUCUGGUAUAAGCGCUGGAAACGGCGUCCAAUACUGGAUAUGUGACGUGACCGCAUGGUCUGCGUCUGGAAAGAAUUUCGGUUGGGGAUGGGCUCCCCGGCCCUAUCACCUUGUUGGUGAGGUAAUGGCUCACCAAGGCUCCCACGGUUACCCCGCCUGAAAGGGUGCCCGGCCCCUUUUGGACCUCAAACCCG